AUAAACACCCACUAACAAAUCUUACUAAUAUUGACUAAUAAAUAAAUAAACAUAGACCAAAAAAUAACUCACAAAAAUAUAUGCUUCGGAGGAGCUAACCAAAUGCUAACACAGGCUAACUUGUCAAACAUUCUCCAACAUUAUCACAGAAUGAUACAAACAAAACUAAUAAAUGAAUACAUAACAUCUGACAAAAUUACCCUAAUAUCACAUUUUUAUCAUUAGAUGCCUUUAUCAUUGCGGAUACCAUCAAGCUACGAUGAAAGGUCGCGAACGUUUCUCCAACAUGUCCGUCUCAGUCCUUGUGUGUGGACUCAGUCCUUGUGUGUGGACUCAGUCCUUGUGUGUGGACUGAGACGGACUCCGGCAGAGAACGUUGGGCUAGCCAUCAAACGCUGAAGGUCAGCUCGGUCGUUCCGGAUAUGCGCAGGCUUUUCUGUUAGGAGGAUCGAAGGCAGAGCAGCGUCUAACAAAUGUCUUGUAGGCUUGCUAAACCUGGCGAGACCGAAAUUUGUACCCCGCCCAGUAGCUUCAUUACAAUAUUGAUAUGGACUGCAUGUUUUUCUUUGGGCUGCGCCGGAUGGCUCUUGUGUAGUCCCAUCCUGUGUCCGCAGACCGCACAAUCGAUAUCAACAAUGCUAUAACUUCUGUACCAAAACAGACCUACACAACACUAAGCAAAACGUACCACAAAAUCGAUAACUUCAGACAGCCGGAACUACUUACGAAUGAACAACACUAACAGAUGUGACAACAAGAAAAUGUAAAGAACAAAGAGUGCAUUUUAUUUUAACAUCAUCAAACGCAACAGACGACGAAAAUAUGGCCAGAGGUUAUUGCCAGUCGCCGCAAAAAAAGAGGAAAGGAUGCAAUAAUGAGGCAAUCGUUGUACGGAAUUAGAAACACAAAUAUCUUUAAACGGGUAUGCCGCGAUAAGGUUUUCUCAAGUUAAACUAUAUAUAUAUAGUUUAUAAUGUUAUGCGUUUGACUCUGCCACUAUUUGGGGCAGGAAUGGAUGGAACAGAUUCAUUCAGAUGAUGGCCGUUUCUUCUUGAUGAGUGCGCCGAGGCCUGGCCGCACUUAUGAUCUCCGGCGUGGACCUCAGUAGCUGUGCGUUCCCCAAUUUGCCAAUUUGACUUUAAUAGAGUGAAUAUUAGAGUGAAUAUUGCACGGUAUUAUGCUUUAUCAUAACCGUGUGUGUGAUUGUAUGCUAUAAUUUUUUGUAUGUUUGCACUUAAUAAAUUUGGCUUCGAAAUUUA